rnacentral:miRNA from 1 species
UCAUCAAAGUGGCUGUCAUACG